rnacentral:rRNA from 1 species
GUGAAGAAGCGGGAAUAAAUAGAUAAGACGAGAAGACCCCAUGGAGCUUUAAGCUUACUGCACCUCUAUUUUCUAUAACCUCUUAUUAAACGGAAUACUGCUUACUUAGCUUUAGGUUGGGGUGACCGCGGAGUAUAACAUAACCUCCAUGAUGAACAAAACUAUUUUCUUAUCUAAGAACAACAGUUCUAAGAAUUAGUAUUCUAACAUAAAAUGAUCCGAUAAUCGAUCAACGGACUAAGUUACCCUGGGGAUAACAGCGCAAUCCAUUUCAAGAGCCCCUAUCGACAAAUGGGUUUACGACCUCGAUGUUGGAUCAGGAUAUCCUAGUGGUGCAGCAGCUACUGAAGGUUCGUUUGUUCAACGAUUAAAAUCCU